CUGAGCAUUGCAGGCUGGUCAGUGGAUGUGUCCCAAUAGGGGUUGGCGAAGAGGGGACAGGGGCUGGGGAACCUCAGGGAUUGGGGAGCCCCAAUGGUUUUUCUGAUAACUUUCUGAACUUCAUUCAAUGCCAGGGUGUCUGAUGGACAGUCUGAGCUCCUGAAAGGGAGACCCUGGGCUGGGGGUUUGAAGAGUUUGGCUAGAAGGGACUGGGGACUCCUUUUGCCUAGAGGACAAUUUGAGCUAAAGUAGAUCUUUAGUUGUUGGAAUCAUAGUGUUUGUGGAAUAGUUUGAGGCUAGCACUGUGUCUAUAGAACCACAGGGAUGCUACACAUGGAGUGCCAAAUAGAAUACUGUCUUUAGAAUUAUGAGGUAUGUUCUGUGCUAGAUCUGGACUUCAAAUUCUGUAUUGGCUGGAAAAACUAUUGCUCUGGUGAGUGAAUCCAUGAAGGAGUGGUGCAGUUGUUGUCUUGAUGGCCUUCCAAAGUCUUCUAGGGACCAUACGCCCAGUCCUCCUGAAUAUGACUUUCUUAGGGAUCUUUGUUUGUGAGGACAGUUUCUAUGAGAAAAUGAUUUAUUCAUUGUAAGAGGUAUAUUUACUAAAUAUUAAAAGAGAGGGUACACUUGAAGUGGUUCCCGAGGAAAACAGUCAAGAAAAGAGUUACUUAAAAUUUUGAGAGAUUAUCAAGUAUGUUAGAUUAAAAAAUGGCAAAGUAUUUAAAAAUCUUAUCACUCAAUUAACAGCCAAGAGCCAUGUCUUUCUGGAAUUGAUGGGGGCUGCUAAUUUAGACAAGAAAUAGCAAAAUGUGGUACAGUUGUUUCCCCCAAUUCAAAACGGAGUUUUGACACUAAUAAAUCAAACUUGUUUUUAAAAAUUAAUUGAACAACGUGACUUGAGUUGGAGUCAAGAUGGCUGCAGAGGGGUCUCGGACACCUGCAGCAGGUGGCAGGAAGUAGGUCACACAGGGAAUCUAUUUUAGGAAACAAGAAAACAUGGUUGGUAAAUUUAUAGUUCAUGGUUAUGAACAAGUGGUUUUCAGAUGGUUUUGCCCAGACCCACAUAUCUGGAAGUGUCCCACUGUGAAAAACAACACCUGGGAAAUUUGCAUUUCUAAAAUAAGGCUCAGAUGCUGACUGGAGAGAUGAAACUGGAGAGUUCCUUUUUUAACUAGCUGAAUUUAAUUUUUCAGUCUUAGCUUACCAACUUCUAAUUUGUAUUCAUUUUUCAAAGCAAAGUGUUUAAGAAAUGAAACAGUCAGAUAUGGUUUAUGAAUGCAUUAAUGUAACUUUUUAUUACUCUGUUGUUCUUUCAUAUAAUUAAUCUCAGACCAUUUUCCAGCGCCUCAAAGUACUGGUUUUACAAUGAUUGUGCUCACGAUUACUUUUUUUAAGUUGGCCGAUAUUCUCUUUGUAAAUAAGAAAUAGUUUGAUAUUCUGAUAAAGUUACCUUCAUUUCAGUAUUUUAAAAUUAUUUUAUUGUUGUAAAAAGAUAGAUGACACAACAUUUGCCAGUUCAACAUUUUUCACAUGUACAAUUCAGGAAGACCAAUUACAUCAUUCAUGUUGUGCAUCCAUCACCAAUACAUUUCAAUAUUUUUGAAGACCACUCUUUAAGUAUUAAUUUCAGGAUUAAAAUUUUAAAUUCAAGAUAUAUAUAUUUUUUAACUUUAGGGUAAGUUAUAGGUGAAGUAUAUAUAUUUGUGCUGAAUUAUUUCAGUUAAGUGUGUUGGCUGGUGAAUUAGAGAGAAAUGAGUCAGAUAGCACAUCAGAAAGGAACUUUGGAACAAAAGACUUCUGAAGUGCAGGUUCUGUUUUUGAUCACUGGCCUGGUUCCUGAGUUGAAGAACAGUCCUCGGAGAGGGGCUCUGUGUGGGUCCACCACGGCCUGGCCUUGGCUGUGUAGUCUCCUAGGACCAUCUGGGGCUGGGAACAUGCAAUCCUGGCUUUUGCCACCAAUGGCCAAGCUGGCUAUUCAUGAACUAGCAGUUUUUUUAAUGGAUUUGGAGGGAUUUUUCAAUGCCAAAGAGCUUCAAGGGACUUGCGAGUGACCAGACGACAGAGAAGAGAGCCAAUCUUCUCCAAGUCUCUUCCCCCUCAUCUCCUGUGAGAGCUCCGACCAGAGCCAGGUGGCCUUUGGCUGCCUCGCUCGUGACUUUCUGCCUGGCUCCAUCACAUUUUCCUGGGACUAUCAGAACAACAGCGCUAUCAACACCGAGAAAUUCGAGACCUUCCCAUCUGUCCUAUUGGAGGGCAAGUAUAUGGCCAGCUCUCAGGUACUCUUACCUUCCGUCGAGGUCCACCAGAGCACCGAUGAGUACCUGGUGUGCAAAGUCCAACACCCCAACCAAAACAAGGACCUGAGAGUGCCCUUUCCAGUAGAUAACCCGACAGAGCUGCCCCCCAAUGUGAGUGUGUACAUCCCAUACCAAGAUGCCUUCUCCGGCACUGGUCAGCGCACCUCCAAGCUCAUCUGCCAGGCCACAGGCUUCCGUCCCAAGGAGAUCUCACUGUUUUGGCUGCGUGAUGGGAAGUCGGUGGAGUCUGGCAUCAUCACAGGAGAAGUUGAGCCUGAGCUCAAAGGGUCUGGGCCACAAACCUUCCAGAUCAACAGCAUGUUGACCAUCAGCGAGAUCGACUGGAUCAACCAGAAAGUGUUUACCUGCCUUGUGAGGCACAACGGGCUAGACUUCAUGAAGAACGUGUCCUCUGUGUGUAGAUUGCCAGCCCCGCUAAUAACCAUCAGUAUCUUCGCCAUCCCCCCAUCCUUUGCUGACAUCUUCCUCACAAAAUCGGCCAAGCUAUCCUGCCUGGUCACAGACCUGACCACCUACGACAGUCUGCACAUCUCUUGGGCCCGCCAGAAUGGCGAGGUUCUGAAUACCCACAUAAACAUCUCUGAGAGCCACCCCAAUGAAACCUUCAGUGCCACGGGAGAAACCACCGUCUGCAUGGAAGACUGGGAGUCAGGGGAAACGUUCACAUGCACCGUCACCCACGCUGACCUCCCUUCGCCGCUGAAACAGACCAUGUCUAAGCCAAAGGAGGUGGCCAAGCAUGCACCAGCCGUCUACCUGAUGCCACCCACCCGGGAGCAGCUGAGUCUGCGUGAGUCAGCCUCUAUCACCUGCCUCGUAAAGGGUUUCUCACCCCCUGAUGUGUUUGUGCAGUGGCUGCACAAGGGACAGCCUGUGGCCUCCAACAAUUAUGUCACCAGCACCCCGAUGCCCGAGCCUCAGGCCCAGGGCUUCUACUUCACCUACAGCAUCCUGAACGUGUCUGAGGAAGACUGGAGCGCCGGGGACACAUUCACCUGCAUCGUGGUCCACGAGGCCCUGUCCCACCAGGUGACCGAGAGGACCGUGGACAAGUCCACUGAGGGGGAAGUGAAUGCUGAGGAGGAAGGCUUCGAGAACCUAUGGGCCAUGGCCUCCACCUUCAUUGUCCUUUUCCUCCUGAGCCUCUUCUACAGCACCACAGUCACUCUGUUCAAGGUGAAGUGACCCAUUGUGGGAAAAAUGUCUGAGAUCCGAGAUGGGACCAGAGGGAGUGCCACCUACGAGCCUUGGGCCCCCCCGGCCUGCGUUCCCUGAUCAUUUAUGCUGCACCCUUUAUGUCUUCCUUGGCUUUGAGCUCUAAGAAACAGGUUUCUUUCUAGACAUGUGUGCAGAACCCCGGGGCUUCAGACUCUAUCCCAAGUGCU